AGCUUCAGAUGUUCCCAUGAGCUUCUCCCAGGCAGAUGAGCCACAAGAUGCUUGGGGUGAACACUCACCUGACAUUCAAGAGAAUGCAUUUUCUGUGCUGAGACCUUCAAGUUCCAAGCAAGAAAGAACACAGCCUAAGUUGUAUGACUCACUUUUGGAAAUACUGUAGCAUUUCAUCUAGGUGUACUAUAGAAAAUGUGCUUGUUUAAAGCAAAAAUGUAAAGCUAAAUAAGCUAAAAUACAAAGAAAUAGAGAGCACAAUUCAGUUGCAGCAGCUGAAUGAGUAACUUUUGUAAUGUCAAUUAAGCUCAUUUCAGAGAGAGCUUCUCUCAUGCAGACCGCCAGCUGGAAACUUGGGAAGAACACCCAUCUAUCACUCAAGAGAACACGUUCUCUGUCCUAAGACUCUCUCAAGACCAAAGACCAUCAACCACACAACAAGAAAGAAUGCAAACUGUUCCAGUGAGCUUGUCCAAUGAAAAUGAGCAAGAGGAUGCUUGGGAUGAACACCCAUCUAACUUUCAAGAGAACACAAUCUCUGAACAGAGACCCUCAAGUACCUACCAGGCAAGAACAAAUAGUGCUUCUGGUGUGAGACGAUGGAGCUGCAUCACUAAUCAAUGUACACCUGUUGAGAGGACAAUUCUGGAGGUACUUAACGAACUGGACAUGAAGAUCAAUCAUCUGUCUUCAGUGGUCCAGUCCCUUGCAGCUAACAGUCGUUCCAGUGCUCCAGUGCUGCUGGUGGACAGCGAGGAUGAUGUCUUUCCUCUCACAACCAUGGAGGAACUAGACAAACUGGAAAGACAAUUGUCAGAAAAAG
ensembl:lncRNA